rnacentral:rRNA from 1 species
UACGUAGGUGGCAAGCGUUGUCCGGAUUUAUUGGCGUAAAGCGAGCGCAGGUGGUUUCUUAAGUCUGAUGUGAAAGCCCCCGGCUCAACCGGGGAGGGUCAUUGGAAACUGGGAGACUUGAGUGCAGAAGAGGAAAGUGGAAUUCCAUGUGUAGCGGUGAAAUGCGUAGAUAUAUGGAGGAACACCAGUGGCGAAGGCGACUUUCUGGUCUGUAACUGACACUGAGGCUCGAAAGCGUGGGGAGCAAACAGG